GACGAACGCUGGCGGCGUGCUUAACACAUGCAAGUCGAAUGGAAAGGCCCUGCUUUUGUGCGGUGCUCGAGUGGCGAACGGGUGUGUAACACGUGAGUAUACUGCCCUUGACUUUGGGAUAACUUCAGGAAACUGGGGCAAAUACCGGAUUGGCGCUCAUGCUGACUGGUGGGGGUUGGACAGUUUCGGCGGUUGGGGAUGGACUCGCGGCUUAUCAGCUUGUUGGUGGGGUAGUGGCUUACCAAGGCUUUGACGGGUAGCCGGCCUGAGAGGGUGACCGGCCACACUGGGACUGAGAUACAGCCCAGACUCCUACGGGAGGCAGCAGUGGGGAAGAUUGCAUAAGGGGCGGAAGCCUGAUGCAGCAACGCCGCGUGCGGGAUGACGGCCUGCGGGUUGGAAACCGCUUUCGCCUGUGACGAAGCGUGAGUGACGGUAACGGGUAAAUAAGCACCGGCUAACUACGUG
rnacentral:rRNA from 1 species